rnacentral:lncRNA from 1 species
CACUCCUAAUAUUUGGCAUCUAAGAAACCCUAGCAAAUACUCUAAAGCCUAAUUUACAAGCACCCGAGUACUAUUUUCUUAAUAUCUCAAGAAUCCAAUACUCAAAUGUCAUCAAAAUUAUGUAUAAAGUUUACUAACAUAAAUUUACACAUUCCUUGAAAUUUUGAGCCAACCUCUUGUCAAAUUGCUCAAGAUAUAGCUCAAGAUACAACCACUAGUAAAUCAGGUCACUUAC